rnacentral:lncRNA from 1 species
UUUUUUUUUGGUUUAGGCAUCACUUCAGUCAUUCUGACUGGUUCUCCUGGACCCCACUUAACAGUACGGUGGUUCCUAUGACUCAACACAAAAGAAAAAGAACUAUGAAAGAUCUAAGUCUUCGAGCUCCAUAGGCUUCAUAUCGUGUCUUCUUUUGUCAUAGUCUUCAAUGUGAAUAUCUUCAUAUACCACCUUUGACUUCAGUGUCUUCAUACAUUUUUAGGGGUCAUCUCUGGUAGUAAAACCGAAUCAAUGAGGGACUUCUACCUAUGUUAUCCUGUAAUUCUCACAAACACAUUAGUCCCUCAACUAGGUUUGUCGUCAAUACUCCAAAACCAACUAGGGGUGGCACUAGAUGCACUUACAAUCUCCCCCUUUUUGGUGAUUGAUGACAAACUAGUUGAAAUUUUCAACGGGGAAUAUAGUCUGUGAAGUUGUAAAGGAUAAGGAAUUGUCUUCAUAAGUUGCAAGGGCCUGAAUGUUCUGUGCUACCCUGUGGGCCUACUGGGCCUUUGCGGGCCUGCAUCCUGGCCCAACAACAGGUUGGGUUUCUAGUCGUAUGCAGGCCGCUGUGGCGCAGUAGGUGGGAUUUUUUUCUUAUUUUUUUGCUUUAUUUAUUUUUGUUUUAUUUAUUUUUGAGUUGUUUUUUGCUGUAUUUAGAGUUUCUUUGUGAAUAUUUUUGAUUUAGGUACAAAAAAUUACUAACUUUAUGUUAGUACCGCUAGUUUACAAAUUUGAAUAGUUUAAAUUUUGAAUUAUUUAAAAUUUGUGUGAAUCACUAGUUUGUGAAUAACUUAACUUUGAAAAUAGAUUUUUCAGUGAUUCUUUUUUCUUAUGUUUAAUAUUAGUGUGUUUUAUCAUUAUAUUCAAUUUGGUAAUGCUUAGGUUAUUUAAAAAAUGAAAUUCCUUUGUAACGGAUGAGUUUUCGUCCGAAACCCUGAUACUUCGAAAGAGAUUGUCCAUUUUGUAUACGAAGUGCAUCCAGCUUUUGCGGUAACCCUCUCUACUUUUUUGCACAUGCUAUGUGGGUGAAAUUAUGAUACCAUGCCAACUUUCAACCUUUUCUGAGUUCAUUUGAAAUGCUUUUCAAUUUCAGGGUCAUUUAGCUGGAAAAAAUCAGUAAAUGCAUCAAAGAAUUUGCUUGCACAUAAAAUUUCUUCGCGUUUCAAAUGCCAAAACACAUAACUAGCUACCCUAACUAUUACAGAGAAUCCCUCCUAGGUGUGAAACACAGAAGAAAGUGAUGAUAGUGAAGCCGAUCACAUCCCAGACCUUUGGGUGUGAAACUUUUUCUUCGCGUGUGUCCCUUUGCGCCGUAGCCAUGGAAAAUCUUCAUCAUUUAACUGGAUGCUCGGGUCAAUAUUCACUGUGAAUGGAGCAAUUUCAUCAAACUUUUCAUAAUCUCCUGACAUGUCUGUCUUGUCAUCCACUCCCAUGAUGUUUCUCUUCCCAGAAAGAACUAUGUGCCGCUUUGGCUCAUUGUACGAUGCAUUCGCUUCCUUAUCUUUUCUUUUUCUCGGCUUGGUAGACAUGUCCUUCACAUAGAAAACAUGUGCCACAUCAUUGGCUAGGACGAAUGGUUCGUCUACAUACGCAAAAUUGUUGAGAUCCACUGUUGUCAUUCCGUACUGCGGGUCUUCCGUUACCCCGCCUCGUGUCAUAUUGACCCAUUUGCACCGAAACAAAGGGACCUUCAAACCACGUCGAUAGUCAAGUUCCCAUAUGUCCUGUAUAUAACCAUAAUAUGUUCCCUUUCCUGUCUUGGUUUCUGCAUCAAAGCAGACACCACUGUUUUGGUUGGUGUUCUUCUUAUCUUGGGCGAUCGUGUAAAAUGUAUUACCAUUUAUCUCGUACCCUUUGAAAGUCAUUAUAUUCGAAGAUGGUAACUGGGAUAGCAAGUACAGGUCAUCUUCAAUAGAGGCGUCAUGCAUGGUACGUGUCUGCAACCAGCUGGCGAAACUCCUGGUUUGUUCACGUGUAAUCCAGUGAUCAGACCGCUCUGAGUGUUUGGAGCGUAGAAAAUUCUUGUGUUCAUCCAUAUACGGAGCCACCAAGGCGGAAUUCUGUAGAAUUGUGUAGUGUGCUUAAGUGAGAGAAUGUCCAUCCAUACAUAUUAUUUGUUCCCCUCCUAGCGUGCCUUUUCCAUCCAGUCUGCCCUUAUGCCGCGAUUCAGGAACACCAAUCGGCUUAAGGUCAGGAAUAAAGUCAAUACAAAACUCAAUGACCUCCUCAUUUUCAUGGCCCUUGGAGAUGCUUCCUUCUGGCCUAGCACGGUUAUGAACAUAUUUCUUUAAGAGUCCCAUGAACCUCUCAAAGGGGAACAUAUUGUGUAGAAAUACAGGACCCAAAACGUUAAUCUCUUCACAUAGGUGAACUAGGAUGUGCGUCAUGAUGUUGAAGAAGGAUGGUGGGAACACCAACUCGAAACUGACAAGACAUUGCACCAAAUCAUUCUCUAACCUUGCUAUGAUUUAUGGAUCGAUUACCUUUUGAGAGAUUGCAUUGAGGAAUGCACAUAGCUUCACAAUGGCUAAUCGAACGUUUUCCGGUAGAAGCCCCCUCAAUGCAACUGGAAGCAGUUGUGUCAUAAUCAUGUGGCAGUCAUGAGACUUUAGGUUCUGGAACUUUUUCUCUGCCAUGUUUAUUAUUCCCUUUAUAUUCGACGAGAAGCCAGACGGUACCUUAAUACUGAGCAGGCAUUCAAAGAAGAUUCCUUCUCUUCUUUGGUAAGAGCGUAGCUUGCAUGACCCUGAUGUAUGCCGUCUUUUCCGUGCAUACGUUGCUAGUCCUCCCGUGCCUCAGGUGUAUCUUUUGUCUUCCCAUACACGCCCAAGAAGCCAAGCAGGGUCACACAAAGAUUCUUCGUCACGUGCAUCACGUCGAUUGCGGAGCGAAACUCUAGGUCUUUCCAAUAGGGCAGGUCCCAAAAUAUAGAUUUCUUCUUCCACAUGGGUGCGCGUACGUCAGCGUCAUUCGGAACAGGUUGUCCACCAGGACCCUUUCCAAAGACCACCUUCAAAUCCUUGACCAUAUCAUGUACAUCAGCACCAGUACAGUGGCGAGGCUUCGUCCGAUGAUCCGCCUCACCUUUGAAAUUCUUGCCUUUCUUUCUUACAGGAUGCCUGCUCGGAAGAAAUCGACGAUGUUGGGGAACGUUGCAGAAAACAAAAAAUUUCCUACGGUUUCACCAAGAUCCAUCUAGGAGUUCAUCUAGCAACGAGUGAUUAGAUGCAUCUACGUACCUUGUAGAUCGCGAGCGGAAGCGUUCAAAGAACGGGGAUGAGGGAGUCGUACUCGUUGUGAUUCGAAUCACCGAAGAUCCUAGCACCGAACGGACGGCACCUCCACGUUCAACACACGUACGUAACAGCCACGUCUCCUCCUUCUUUAUCCAGCAAGGGGGAAGGAGAGGUUGAGGGAGAUGGCUCUAGCAGCAGCACGACGGCGUGGUGAUGAUGGAGCUGCAGUACUCCGGCAGGGCUUCGCCAAGCACUAUGGAGGAGGAGGAGGAGUUGGAGAGGGAGAGGGAGGCACCAAAGAUCAAGGUAAGAAGUCCUCCAUCUCCCCACUAUAUAUAGGAGGGCCAAGGGGGGGGGGGCGCUGGCCCUAGGAGAUCUAAUCUCCUAGGGGGGUGCGGCCAAGGGGAGGAAUCCCUCCUCCCCAAGGCACCUAGGAGGUGCCUUCCCCUCCUAGGACUCUUCCCUCCUUGAAACCCUAGGCGCAUGGGCCUCUUAGGGCUGAUGCCCUUGGCCCAUGUAGGCCAAGGCGGACCCCCUACAGCCCAUGUGCCCCCCCAGGACAGGUGGCCCCACCCGGUGGACCCCCGGGACCCUUCCGGUGGUCCCGGUACAAUACCGGUGACCCCGAAACUUGUCCCGAUGCCCGAAAUAGCACUUCCUAUAUAUAAUUCUUUACCUCCGGACCAUUCCGGAACUCCUCGUGACGUCCGGGAUCUCAUCCGGGACUCCGAACAACAUUCAGGUUACCGCAUAUACAUAUCCCUACAACCCUAGCGUCACCGAACCUUAAGUGUGUAGACCCUACGGGUUCGGGAGACAUGUAGACAUGACCGAGAUCGCUCUCUGUCCAAUAACCAACAGCGGGAUCUGGAUACCCAUGUUGGCUCCCACAUGCUCCUUGAUGAUCUCAUUGGAUGAACAACGAUGUCGAGGAUUCAAGCAACGUAUACAAUUCCCUUUGUCAAUCGGUAUGUUACUUGCCCGAGAUCCGAUCGUCGGUAUCCCAAUACCUCGUUCAAUCUCGUUACCGGCAAGUCACUUUACUCGUGUCGUAAUGCAUGAUCCCGUGACUAGACUUGGUCACUUUGAGCUCAUAAUGAUGAUGCAUUACCGAGUGGGCCCAGUGAUACCUCUCCGUCAUACGGAGUGACAAAUCCCAGUCUUGAUCCGUGUCAACCCAACAGACACUUUCGGAGAUACCCGUAGUAUACCUUUAUAGUCACCCAGUUACGUUGUGAUGUUUGGCACACCCAAAGCACUCCUACGGUAUCGGGAGUUACACGAUCUCAUGGUCUAAGGAAAAGAUACUUGACAUUGGAAAACUCUAGCAAACGAACUACACGACCUUGUGCUAUGUUUAGGAUUGGGUCUUGUCCAUCACAUCAUUCUCCUAAUGAUGUGAUCUCGUUAUCAAUGACAUCCAAUGUCCAUAGUCAGGAAACCAUGACUAUCUGUUGAUCAAUGAGCUAGUCAACUAGAGGCUUACUAGGGACAUGUUGGUGUCUAUUAUUCACACAUGUAUUACGAUUUCCGGAUAACACAAUUAUAGCAUGAAUAAAGACAAUUAUCAUGAACAAGGAAAUAUAAUAAUAAUGCUUUUAUUAUUGCCUCUAGGGCAUAUUUCCAACAGUCUCCCACUUGCACUAGAGUCAAUAAUCUAGUUACAUUGUGAUGAAUCGAACACCCAUGGAAUUCUGGUGUUGAUCAUGUUUUGCUCUAGGGAGAGGUUUAGUCAACGGAUCUGCUACAUUCAGGUCCGUAUGUACUUUACAAAUAUCUAUGUCUCCAUCUUGAAUAUUUUCACGAAUGGAGUUGAAGCGACGCUUGAUGUGCCUUGUCUUCUUGUGAAACCUAGGCUCCUUGGCAAGUGCAAUAGCUCCAGUGUUGUCACAGAAGAGCUUGAUCGGCCCCGAUGCAUUGGGUAUGACUCCUAGGUCGGUGAUGAACUCCUUCACCCAAAUUGCUUCAUGCGCUGCCUCCGAGGCUGCCAUGUAUUCCGCUUCACAUGUAGAUCCCGCCACGACGCUCUGCUUGCAACUGCACCAGCUUACUGCCCCACCAUUCAAAAUAUACACGUAUCCGGUUUGUGACUUAGAGUCAUCCAGAUCUGUGUCGAAGCUAGUGUCGACGUAACCCUUUACGAUGAGCUCUUCGUCACCUCCAUAGACGAGAAACAUUUCCUUAGUCCUUUUCAGGUACUUCAGGAUAUUCUUGACCGCUGUCCAGUGUUCCUUGCCGGGAUUACUUUGGUACCUUCCUACCAAACUUACGGCAAGGUUUACAUCAGGUCUGGUACACAGCAUGGCAUACAUAAUAGACAUAUGGCUGAGGCAUAGGGGAUGACACUCAUCUCUUCUAUAUCUUCUGCCGUGGUCGGACAUUGAGCUGAGCUCAAUUUCAUACCUUGUAACACAGGCAAGAACCCCUUCUUAGACUGAUCCAUAUUGAACUUCUUCAAUAUCUUAUCAAGGUAUGUGCUUUGUGAAAGACCUAUGAGGUGUCUUGAUCUAUCUCUGUAGAUCUUGAUGCCUAAUAUAUAAGCAGCUUCUCCAAGGUCCUUCAUUGAAAAACUUUUAUUCAAGUAGGCCUUAAUGUUGUCCAAGAGUUCUAUAUCAUUUCCCAUCAAAAGUAUGUCAUCUACAUAUAAUAUGAGAAAUGCUACAGAGCUCCCACUCACUUUCUUGUAAAUGCAGGCUUCUCCAUAAGUCUGUGUAAACCCAAACGCUUUGAUCAUCUCAUCAAAGCGAAUGUUCCAACUCCGAGAUGCUUGCACCAGCCCAUAAAUCGAGCGUUGGAGCUUGCACACCUUGUCAGCAUUCUUAGGAUCGACAAAACCUUCCGGCUGCAUCAUAUACAAUUCUUCCUUAAGGAAACCAUUAAGGAAUGCCGUUUUGACGUCCAUUUGCCAUAUCUCAUAAUCAUAGAAUGCGGCAAUCGCUAACAUGAUUCGGACGGACUUCAGCUUCGCUACCGGUGAGAAAGUCUCAUCGUAGUCAACCCCUUGAACUUGUCGAUAACCCUUAGCAACAAGCCGAGCUUUAUAGAUGGUCACAUUACCAUCCGCAUCUGUCUUCUUCUUAAAGAUCCAUUUAUUUUCUAUGACUCGCCGCUCAACAGGCAAGUCAGUCAAAGUCCAUACUUCGUUUUCAUACAUGGAUCCUAUCUCGGAUUUCAUGGCUUCUAGCCAUUUGUCGGAAUCCGGGCCCGCCAUUGCUUCUUCAUAGUUCGAAGGUUCACCGUUGUCUAACAACAUGAUUUCCAAGACAGGGUUGCCGUACCACUCUGGUGCGGAACGUGUCCUUGUGGACCUUCGAAUUUCAGUUGGAGCUUGAUCAGAAGUAUCUUGAUCAUCAUCAUUGACUUCCUCUCUUGUCGGUGCAGGCACCUCAGAAACAUUUUCUUGAGUUGCGCCAUUUUCCGGUUCAAGAGGUAAUACUUCAUCAAGUUCUACUUUCCUCCCACUUACUUCUUUCGAGAGAAACUCUUUCUCUAGAAAGGACCCAUUCUUGUCAACAAAGAUCUUGCCUUCGGAUCUGAGGUAGAAGGUAUACCCAACAGUUUCUUUAGGGUAUCCUAUGAAGAUGCAUUUUUCCGAUUUGGGUUCGAGCUUUUCAGGUUGAAGUUUCCUGACAUAAGCAUCGCAUCCCCAAACUUUUAGAAACGACAACUUAGGUUUCUUCCCAAACCAUAAUUCAAACGGUGUCAUCUCAACGGAUUUCGACAGAGCCCUAUUUAAAGUGAAUGCGGCAGUCUCUAAAGCAUAGCCCCAAAAGAUAGCGGUAAAUCGGUAAGAGACAUCAUAGAUCGCACCAUAUCUAAUAGAGUGCGAUUACGAUGUUCGGACACACCAUUACGCUGAGGUGUUCCAGGCGGCAUUAGUUGUGAAACUAUUCCACAUUUUCUUAAGUGUGUGCCAAACUCGUGACUCAAGUAUUCUCCUCCACGAUCUGAUCGCGGGAACUUGAUUUUCCUGUCACGUUGAUUCUCAACCUCACUCUGAAAUUCCUUGAACUUUUCAAAGGUCUCAGACUUGUGUUUCAUUAAGUAGACAUACCCAUAUUUACUUAAGUCAUCAGUGAGGGUGAGAACAUAAUGAUAGCCACCGCGAGCCUCAACACUCAUUGGACCGCACACAUCAGUAUGUAUGAUUUCCAAUAAGUUGGUUGCUCGCUCCAUUGUUCCUGAGAACGGAGUCUUGGUCAUUUUACCCAUGAGGCAUGGUUCACACGUGUCAAAUGAUUCGUAAUCAAGAGACUCUAAAAGUCCAUCAGCAUGGAGCUUCUUCAUGCGUUUGACACCUAUGUGACCAAGGCGGCAGUGCCACAAGUAUGUGGGACUAUCAUUAUCAACCUUACUUCUUUUGGUACUCACACUAUGAAUAUGUGUAGCAUUACGCUCGAGAUUCAUUAAGAAUAAACCAUUCACCAUCGGAGCAUGACCAUAAAACAUAUCUCUCAUAUAAAUAGAACAACCAUUAUUCUCGGAUUUAAAUGAGUAGCCAUCUCAUAUUAAACGAGAUCCUGAUACAAUGUUCAUGCUCAAACUUGGCACUAAAUAACAAUUAUUGAGGUUUAAAACUAAUCCCGUAGGUAAAUGUAGAGGUAGCGUGCCGACGGCGAUCACAUCGACCUUGGAACCAUUCCCGACGCGCAUCGUCACCUCGUCCUUCGCCAGUCUCCGCUUAUUCCGUAGCUCCUGCUUUGAGUUACAAAUGUGAGCAACCGCACCGGUAUCAAAUACCCAGGAGCUACUACGAGUACUGGUAAGGUACACAUCAAUUACAUGUAUAUCACAUAUACCUUUCGUUUUGCCGGCCUUCUUGUCCGCUAAGUAUUUGGGGCAGUUCCGCUUAAAGUGACCACUUUCCUUGCAAUAAAAGCACUCAGUCUCGGGCUUGGGUCCAUUCUUUGGCUUCUUCCCGGCAGCUUGCUUGCCGGGCGCGGCAACUCCCUUGCCGUCCUUCUUGAAGGCUUUCUUACCCUUGCCCUUCUUGAACUUAGUGGUUUUAUUCACCAUCAACACUUGAUGUUCCUUUUUGACUUCUACCUCUGCUGAUUUCAGCAUUGCAAAUACUUCAGGAAUGGUCUUUUCCAUCCCCUGCAUAUUGAAGUUCAUCACAAAGCUCUUGUAGCUCGGUGGAAGCGACUGAAGGAUUCUGUCAAUGACCGUGUCAUCCGGGAGAUUAACUCCCAGCUGAGUCAAGCGGUUAUGUAACCCAGACAUUGUGAGUAUGCGCUCACUAACAGAACUAUUUUCCUCCAUCUUACAGCUGAAGAAUUUGUUGGAGACUUCAUAUCUCUCAACCCGGACAUGAGCUUGGAAAACCAUUUUCAGCUCUUCGAACAUCUCAUAUGCUCCGUGUCUCUCAAAACGCUUUUGGAGUCCCGGCUCUAAGUUGUAAAGCAUGCCGCACUGAAGAGGGAGUAGUCAUCGGUACGUGUCUGCCAAGCGUUCAUAACUUCUUGUUCUACAGGGAGAAUAGGUGCGUCACCCAGCGGUGCUUGUAGGACAUAAUCUUUCUUGGCAGCUAUGAGGAUGAUCCUCAGGUUCCGGACCCAGUCCGUGUAGUUGCUGCCAUCGUCUUUCAGCUUGGUUUUCUCUAGGAACGCGUUGAAGUUGAGGACUACAUUGGCCAUUUGAUCUACAAGACAUAUUGUAAAAAAUUUAGACUAAGUUCAUGAUAAUUAAGUUCAUCUAAUCAAAUUAUUCAAUGAACUCCCACUUAGAUAGACAUCCCUCCAGUCAUCUAAGUAUAACAUGAUCCGAGUUAACUAGGCCGUGUCCGAUCAUCACGUGAGACGGACUAGUCAACAUCGGUGAACAUCUUCAUGUUGAUCGUAUCUUCUAUACGACUCAUGCUCGACCUUUCGGUCUUCUGUGUUCCGAGGCCAUGUCUGUACACAUGCUAGGCUCGUCAAGUCAACCUAAGUGUUUUGCAUGUGUAAAUCUGUCUUACACCCGUUGUAUGUGAACGUUAGAAUCUAUCACACCCGAUCAUCACGUGGUGCUUCGAAACAACGAACUGUCGCAACGGUGCACAGUUAGGGGGGAACACUUUCUCGAAAUUAUUAUGAGGGAUCAUCUUAUUUACUACCAUCGUUCUAAGUAAACAAGAUGAAAAACAUGAUAAACAUCACAUGCAAUCAAAUAAUAACAGUGACAUGAUAUGGCCAAUAUCACAUAGCUCCUUUGAUCUCCAUCUUGGGGCUCCAUGAUCAUCUUGUCACCGGCAUGACACCAUGAUCUCCAUCAUCAUGAUCUCCAUCAUCGUGUCUCCAUGAAGUUGCUCGCCAACUAUUACUUCUACUACUAUGUCUAACGCGUUUAGCAAUAAAGUAAAGUAAUUUACAUGGCGUUUCUCAAUGACACGUAGAUCAUAUAAAAAAAAUAGACAACUCCUAUCGCUCCUGCCGGUUGUCAUACUCAUCGACAUGCAAGUCAUGAUUCCUAUUACAAUAGCAUGAACAUCUCAUACAUCACAUAUAGAUCAUUCAUCAUUCAUCACAACUUUGGCCAUAUCAUAUCACAAAGCACUUGCUGCAAAAACAAGUUAGACGUCCUCUAAUUGUUGUUGCAAGUUUUACGUGGCUGAAGUAGGGUUCUAGCAAGAACGUUUUCUUACCUACAUGAAAGCCACAACGUGAUUUGUCAACUUCUAUUUACCCUUCAUAAGGACCCUUUUCAUCGAAUCCGCUCCAACUAAAGUAGGAGAGACAGACACCCGCCAGCCACCUUAUGCAACUUGUGCAUGUUAGUCGGUGGAACCGGUCUCACGUAAGCGUACGUGUAAGGUUGGUCCGGGUCGCUUCAUCCCACAAUACCGUUGAAGCAAGAUAAGACUAGUAGCGGCAAGAAAGUUGACAACAUCAACACCCACAACAAAUUGUGUUCUACUCGUGCAAGAGAACUACGCAUAGACCUAGCUCAUGAUGCCACUGUUGGGGAACGUUGCAGAAAACAAAAAUUUUCCUACGGUUUCACCAAGAUCCAUCUAGGAGUUCAUCUAGCAAUGAGUGAUUAGAUGCAUCUACGUACCUUGUAGAUCGCGAGCGGAAGCGUUCAAAGAACGGGGAUGAGGGAGUCGUACUCGUCGUGAUUCGAAUCACCGAAGAUCCUAGCACCGAACGAAUGGCACAUCCGCGUUCAACACACGUACGGAACAGCCACGUCUCCUCCUUCUUGAUCCAGCAAGGGGGAAGGAGAGGUUGAGGGAGAUGGCUCCAGCAGCAGCACGACGGCGUGGUGAUGAUGGAGCUGCAGUACUCCGGCAGGGCUUCGCCAAGCACUAUGGAGGAGGAAGGGGAGUUGGAGAGGGAGAGGGAGGCACCAAAGAUCAAGGUAAGAAGUCCUCCAUCUCCCCACUAUAUAUAGGAGGGCCAAGGGGGGGCGCCGUCCCUAGGAGAUCUAAUCUCCUAGGGGGGUGCGGCCAAGGGGAGGAAUCCCUCCUACCCAAGGCACCUAGGAGGUGCCUUCCCCUCCUAGGACUCUUCCCUCCUUGAAACCCUAGGUGCAUGGGCCUCUUAGGGCUGAUGCCCUUGGCCCAUGUAGGCCAAGGCGCACCCCCUACAGCCCAUGUGGCCCCCUGGGACAGGUGGCCCCACCCGGUGGACCCCCGGGACCCUUCCGGUGGUCCCGGUACAAUACCGGUGACCCCGAAACUUGUCCUGAUGCCCGAAAUAGCACUUCCUAUAUAUAAUUCUUUACCUCCGGACCAUUCCGGAACUCCUCGUGACGUCCGGGAUCUCAUCCGGGACUCCGAACAACAUUCAGGUUACUGCAUAUACAUAUCCCUACAACCCUAGCAUCACCGAACCUUAAGUGUGUAGACCCUACGGGUUCGGGAGACAUGUAGACAUGACCGAGAUCGCUCUCCGGCCAAUAACCAACAGCGGGAUCUGGAUACCCAUGUUGGCUCCCACAUGCUCCUCGAUGAUCUCAUCGGAUGAACCACGAUGUCGAGGAUUCAAGCAACCCCGUAUACAAUUCCCUUUGUCAAUCGGUAUGUUACUUGCCCGAGAUCCGAUCGUCGGUAUCCCAAUACCUCGUUCAAUCUCGUUAUCGGAAAGUCACUUCACUCGUGCCGUAAUGCAUGAUCCCGUGACCAGACACUUGGUCACUUUGAGCUCAUAAUGAUGAUGCAUUACCGAGUGGGCCCAGUGAUACCUCUCCGUCAUACGGAGUGACAAAUCCCAGUCUUGAUCCGUGUCAACCCAACAAACACUUUCGGAGAUACCCGUAGUAUACCUUUAUAGUCACCCAGUUACGUUGUGACGUUUGGCACACCCAAAGCACUCCUACGGUAUCCGGGAGUUACACGAUCUCAUGGUCUAAGGAAAAGAUACUUGACAUUGGAAAACUCUAGCAAACGAACUACACGACCUUGUGCUAUGUUUAGGAUUGGGUCUUGUCCAUCACAUCAUUCUCCUAAUGAUGUGAUCUCAUUAUCAAUGACAUCCAAUGUCCAUAAUCAGGAAACCAUGACUAUCUGUUGAUCAACGAGCUAGUCAACUAGAGGCUUACUAGGGACAUGUUGGUGUCUAUUAUUCACACAUGUAUUACGAUUUUCGGAUAACACAAUUAUAGCAUGAAUAAAGACAAUUAUCAUGAACAAGGAAAUAUAAUAAUAAUGCUUUUAUUAUUGCCUCUAGGGCAUAUUUCCAACAGACGAUGUCCCAGGUACACAUUCUUCUUACAAUUAGCCAAAUAUAUACUGUCGGUAUCGUCCAAACAGUGUGUGCAUGCGCGGUAUCCCUUGUUUGUCUGUCCUGAAAGGUUACUGAGAGCAGGCCAAUCAUUAAUGGUCACGAACAGCAACGCCUUUAGGUCAAAUUCUUCCCCCAUGUGCUCAUCCCACGCAUGUACACCUGUUCCAUUCCACAGUUGUAAGAGUUCUUCAACUAAUGGCCUUAGGUACACAUCAAUGUCGUUGCCGGGUUGCUUAUGGCCUUGGAUGAGCACUGGCAUCAUAAUGAACUUACGCUUCAUGCACAACCAAGGAGGAAGGUUAUACAAACAUAGAGUCACAGGCCAGGUGCUAUGGUUGCUGCUCUGCUCCCCAAAAGGAUUAAUGCCAUCUGUGCUUAGACCAAACCAUACGUUCCUUGCGUCAUCUGCAAACUCCUUCCCGUACUUUCUUUCGAUUUUUCUCCACUGCGACCCGUCAGCGGGUACUCUUAACUUUCCAUCUUUCUUACGGUCUUCUCUGUGCCAUCGCAUCUCCUUGGCAUGCUCUUUGUUUUGGAACAAAUGUUUCAACCGUGGUAUUAUAGGAGCAUACCACAUCACCUUGGCAGGAAUCUUCUUCCCGGGGCGCUCGCCCUCGACAUCACCAGGGUCAUCGCGGCUGAUCUUAUAGCGCAAUGCACCGCAUACUAGGCAAGCGUUCAAAUCCUCCUACUCACCGCAGUAGAGGAUGCAAUUAUUAGGGCAUGCAUGUAUCUUCUGCACCUCUAACCCUAGAGUGCAGACAUCCUUCUUUGAUUCGUACAUACUCUCGGGCAAUUCGUUGUCCUUUGGAAGCAUAUUCUUUAUCAUUACCAGCAACUUUCCAAAUCCCUUGUCAGAUACACCAUUCUCUGCCUUCCAUUGUAGCAAUUCCAGUGUGGUGCCCAGCUUUUUCUUGUCACCUACGCAAUUCGGGUACAACAAUUUUUCGUGAUCCUCUAACAUGCGCUGCAACUUCUUCUUCUCCAAAUCACUUGCGCAGUUUCUCUUUGCAUCGGCAAUGGCCCGACCUAGAUCAUCAACGGGCUCAUCCAAUGCCUCAUCUUCAGCUUCUUCCCGCAUUGCCGGCUCAGCUUCUUCCCGCAUUACCGGCUCAGCUUCUUCCCUCGAUGUUGUAUCAUUGUAUUCAGGGAACCCAUGGCUAGGAUAGCUGUCGUCGUCCUCUUCUUCUUCAUUGUCUUCCAUCAUAACCCCUCUUUCUCCAUGCUUGGUCCAAACAUUAUAGUGGGGCAUGAAACCGGACUCAAACAGGUGGACGUGAAUGGUUCUUGACGUAGAGUAAUUGUGACCAUUCUUACAGCCAGCACAUGGACAAGGCAUAAAACCAUCUGCCCGCUUGUUUGCCUUAGCCGCAAGCAGAAAAGUACGCACGCCAUUAAUGAACUCGGGAGAGCAUCGGUCAUCGUACAUCCAUUGCCGGCUCAUCUUAAUACACAGCACCGAAAACACCAAAUUAAUACAAUACAUACAGUUCAUACAUAAAGAUCAUACAACACUUAAAUGCAACAAACAAAUAACUCUCUAGCUAAAGAAUUUAAAUGCAACAACAAAUGCGAUCAAGAUCGCAACUAAGGUAACAAUUGAUCCAACAGCAUAAUGAUACCAAGCCUCACUAUGAAUGGCAUAUUUUCUAAUCUUUCUAAUCUUCAAGCGCAUUUUCUCCAUCUUAAUCUUGUGAUCAUCGACGACAUCGGCAACAUGCAACUCCAAUUCCAUCUUCUCCCCCUCAAUUCUUUUCAAUUUUUCCUUCAAAUCCUCGUUUUCUCUUUCAACUAAAUUUAACCUCUCGACAAUAGGGUCGGUUGGAAUUUCUGGUUCAACUACCUCCUACAUACAAAUAUCUAUGUCAACUUGAUGGGCAUAAUUUGUCAUAAACACGAAAUGCAAUGAAUAGUUUUAAAAGAGAAUAUACCACAUCCAAAUCAUAACCCGGACGAGGGCCGACGGGGACGGAUAUCAAAACCAUGGCACUAUGUAUAACAAACAAUGUAUGGGUAAGAUAAUUAUACGAGUAACUAUAUAUCCAAAUCACACAAACAUCAAUUUUUUAUAUAAAAUUUCAUGAACAAGAGGCUCACCACAAGGUGGUGCCGGCGAUGGGACGUUGCGAGCGAUCGGCGGUGGUUACGACGGAGAUUUAGAAGGUACUAAGUAAACCACACCUACAUAUGCAAACUAAGUGUUAUUUUUUACCUCAAAUUGCAUAUAAAUCAAAUACUAGCACAUAUAUAUAAUUCCUCCCAAAUUACUAAACUCAAAAAUCAAUCACUAUAUAAAGCAUUACACGAGCUAAUCUAGCAAUGAGAGAUGAAAGGACAAAGUUGCUAACCUUUGUGAUCAUUUGAAUUGAUGGGGGCCUUCAAAUCUUGACAAAUUUUGGGCAAAAUGUGUGAUGAGCUUGAGAGGAAGAUGGAAAAGAACAGAGAGGAGAGGGGAAAGGGGAAGAACAGAGCGAGCUCGGGUGGAUGAAGGGUCUGUGUAGGACGACCUUUAGUACCGGUUCGUGAUACGACCCGGUACUAAAGGUGCUGGAGGGGCCCCGGACUAACAACAUCCUGCCAUCACUCAAUUUAGUACCGGUUCGUGGCACGAACUGGUGCUAAAGGUUCGCCACGAACCGGUACUAAUGAGAGCGGCCGGCUAGCCGUUGGAACCGGCACUAAUGCACACAUUAGUGCCGGCUCAAAUUCAAACCAGCACUAAGGUGCUUCACAUUUGACCCUUUUUCUACUAGUGAAAGAAUGGAAUCAGUGGCUCGUUAAAGACAAUGAUUUGUUGGACCAGUUCCUGACAAAUGUACGUCUGGUUAGGGAGGCUGAGAUUCAACUCAGAAGACCGCGUCUUCACCUUAUUCCCCUUGAACUAAGGACACCCAGUCCUCGCCCAAUCACUCUGGUAAGUCUUCAAGGUAGACUUCCAAACCUUCACGGACUUCGUUCACCGGCGAUCCACAAUGACUCUUGGAUGCUCAGAACGCGACGCCUAACCGGUUGGAGGAUUCACAGUCCUCAAGUGUAAUAAGUCUUUAGAUCACACAGACAGGAAGACUUCAGUGAUGCCCAACACUCUUUGGCUCUGGGUGUUUAGGGCUUUGUCCUCGCAAGGAAUUCUCUCUCAAAGGCUUCGAGGUGGGUUGCUCUCAAACGACAAAAGCCGUACACUAACUCUGAGCAGCCAACCGUUUAUGGUUGUAGGGGGUGGGAUAUUUAUAGCCACUAGGCAACCCGACCUGAUUUGUCCGAAAUGACCCUGGGUCACUAAGGAACUGACACGUGUUCCAACGGUCAGAUUUCAAACACACGCGGCAAAUUUACUUGGGCUACAAGCAAAGCUGACUUAUCCAGCUCUGGAUAAGAUUUGCUCUCAUUGUCUUCACUCGAAGACAUAGGAUUUUGGUUAAGCAUCACUUCAGUCAUUCUGACUGGUUCACUUGGACCCCACUUAACAGUACGGUGGUUCCUAUGACUCAACAAAGAAGAAAAAGAACGACGAAACAACUAAGUCUUCGCGCUCCAUAGUCUUCACGCGAUGUCUUCUCUUGUCAUAGUCUUCAGAAUGUCUUCACAUACCACCUUUGACUUCAAUGUCUUCAUACAUUUUUAGGGGUCAUCUCUGGUAGGAAAACCGAAUCAAUGAGGGACUUCUACCUAUGUUAUCCUGCAAUUCUCACAAACACAUUAGUCCCUCAACCAGGUUUGUCGUCAAUACUCCAAAACCAACUAGGGGUGGCACUAGAUGCACUUACACUUCUUCACUUGAGCAGCAACUGGCUUGUUGUUCUUCUUGAAGUUCCCCUUCUUCCGUUUACCCUUUUUCUUGAAACUGGUGGUCUUGUUGACCAUCAACGCUUGAUGCUCCUUCUUGAUUUCUACCUUCGCAUCCUUUAGCAUCGCGAAGAGCUUGGGAAUUGUCUUAUCCAUCCCUUGAAUAUUAUAGUUCAUCACGAAGCUCAUGUAGCUUGGUGGCAGUGAUUGAAGAAUUCUGUCAAUGACACUAUCAUCCGAAAGAUUAACUCCCAGUUGAAUCAAGUGAUUGUUAUACCCAAACAUUUUGAGUAUAUGCUCAUUGACAGAACUAUUCUCUUCCAUCUUGUAGUUGUAGAACUUAUUGGAUACUUCAUAUCUCUCAAUCCGGGCAUUUGCUUGAAAUAUUAACUUCAACUCCUGGAACAUCUCAUAUGCUCCAUGACGUUCAAAACGUCGUUGAAGUCCCGGUUCUAAGCCGUAAAGCAUGGCACACUGAACUAUCGAGUAGUCAUCAGCUUUGCUCUGCCAGACGUUCAUAACAUCUGGUGUUGCUCCUGCAGCGGGUUUGGCACCUAGUGGUGCUUCCAGGACGUAAUUCUUCUGUGCAGCAAUGUGGAUAAUCCUCAAGUUACGGACACAGUCCUUGUAAUUGCUACCAUCAUCUUUCAACUUUGCUUUCUCAAGGAACGCAUUAAAAUUCAACGGAACAACAGCAGGGGCCAUCUAUCUACAACAACAUAGACAUGCAAAAUACUAUCAGGUACUAAGUUCAUGAUAAAUUAAAGUUCAAUUAAUCAUAUUACUUAAGAACUCCCACUUAGACAGACAUCCAUCUAACCAUCUAAGUGAUCACGUGAUCCAUAUCAACUAAACCAUGUCCGAUCAUCACGUGAAAUGGAGUAUUUUUCAAUGGUGAACAUCACUAUGUUGAUCAUAUCUACUAUUUGAUUCACGCUCGACCUUUCAGUCUUAGUGUUCCGAGGCCAUAUCUGCAUAUGCUAGGCUCGUCAAGUUUAACCCGAGUAUUCUACGUGUGCAAAACUGGCUUGCACCCGUUGUAUGUGAACGUACAGCUUAUCACACCCGAUCAUCACGUGGUGUCUCAGCACGACUAACUUUCACAACGGUGCAUACUCAGGGAGAACACUUAUACCUUGAAAUUUAGUGAGAGAUCAUCUUAUAAUGCUACCGUCGAUCUAAGCAAAAUAAGAUGCAUAAAAGAUAAACAUCACAUUCAAUCAAUAUAAGUGAUAUGAUAUGGCCAUCAUCAUCUUGUGCCUGUGAUCUCCAUCUCCAAAGCAUCGUCAUGAUCACCAUCGUCACCAGCUUGACACCUUGAUCUCCAUCGAAGCAUCAUUGUCGUCAUGCCAACUAUUGCCUCCACGACUAUCGCUACCGCUUAGUGAUAAAGUAAAGCAAUUACAUGGCGAUUGCAUUUCAUACAAUAAAGAGACAACCAUAUGGCUCCUGCAAGUUGCCGAUAACUGCCUUACAAAACAUGAUCAUCUCAUACAAUAAAAUUUAGCAUCAUGUCUUGACCAUAUCACAUCACAACAUGCCCUGCAAAAACAAGUUAGACGUCCUCUACUUUGUUGUUGCAAGUUUUACGUGGCUACUACGGGCUUAGAAAGAACCGUUCUUACCUAUGCAUCAAAAAACCACAACGCGGUAUAGUGAUUGCUUUUUGAUCUUCAGAAAUAACCUUGUUCAUUGAAUCCGAUUCAACUAAAGUUGGAGAAACAGAUACCCACUAGCCACCUGUGUGCAAAGCACGUCGGUAGAACCAGUCUCGCGUAAGCGUACGCGUAAUGUCGGUCUGGUCUGCUUCAUCCAACAAUGUCGCUGAAUCAAGAAUCAACUAGUGACGGCAAGCAAUAUGUAUAUACCCACACCCACAACUCCUUUGUGUUCUACUCGUGCAUAUAACAUCUAUGCAUAAACCUGGCUCGGAUGCCACUGUUGGGGAACGUAGUAAUUUCAAAAAAAUUCCUACGCACACGCAAGAUCAUGGUGAUGCAUAGCAACGUGUGGGGAGAGUGUUGUCCAUGUACCCUCGUAGACCAUAAGCGGAAGUGUUAUGAGAACGCGGUUGAUGUAGUCGUACGUCUUCAUGAUCCGACCGAUCCAAGUAUCGAACAUACGGCACCUCCGAGUUCAGCACACGUUUAGCUCGGUGACGUCCCACGAACUCCGAUCCAGGAGAGCUUCGAGGGAGAGUUUCGUCAGCACGACGGCAUGAUGACGGUGAUGAUGAUGCUACCGACGCAGGGCUUCGCCUAAGCACCGCUACGAUAUGACCGAGGUGGAUUAUGGUGGAGGGGGCACCGCAAACGGCUAAAAGAUCAACUGAUCAACUUGUGUGUCUUGGGGUGCCCCCUGCCCCCGUAUAUAAAGGAGUGGAGGAGGGGGAGAGGCCGGCCCUCCUAGGCGCGCCCCAAGGGGAGUCCUACUCCCAUCGGGAGUAGGACUCCAAUCCUUCCAAGAGUAGGAGUAGGAGAGAAGGAAGGAGAAGGGAGGGGAAAGGAAAGGGGGGCGCCGCCCCCCUCCUUGUCCAAUUCGGACUAGAGGGAGAGGGGGCGCGCGGCCUGCCCUGGCCGCCCCUCCUCUUCUCCACUAAGGCCCAAUAGGCCCAUUACACUCCCCGGGGGGUUCCGGCAACCCCCGGUACUCCGGUAUUUGUCCGAACUUGCCCGGAACCCUUCCGAAGUCCAAACAUAGUCAUACAAUAUAUCGAUCUUUAUGUCUCAACCAUUUCGAGACUCCUCGUCAUGUUUGUGAUCAUAUCCGGGACUCUGAACUACCUUCGGUACAUCAAAACACAUAAACUCAUAUUACCGAUCGUCACCGAACUUUAAGUGUGCGGACCCUACGGGUUCGAGAACUAUGUAGACAUGACCUAGACUCGUCUCCAGUCAAUAACCAAUAGCGAAACCUAGAUGCUCAUAUUGGCUCCUACAUAUUCUAAAGAUCUUUAUCGGUCAAGCCGUAUAACAACAUACGUUGUUCCCUUUGUCAUCGGUAUGUUACUUUCCCGAGAUUCGAUCGCCGGUAUCCCCAUACCUAGUUCAAUCUCGUUACCGGCAAGUCUCUUUACUCGUUCCGUAAUGCAUAAUCCCACAACUAACUCAUUAGUCACAAUACUUGCAAGGCUUAUAGUGAUGUGCAUUACCGAGAGGGCCCAGAGAUACCUCUCUGACAAUCGGAGUGACAAAUCCUAAUCUCGAUCUAUGUCAACUCAACAAGCACCAUCGGAGACACCUGUAGAGCACCUUUAUAAUCACCCAGUUACAUUGUGACGUUUGGUAGCACUCAAAGCGUUCCUCCGGUACUCAGGAGUUGCAUAAUCUCAUAGUCAUAGGAACAUGUAUAAGUCAUGAAGAAAGCAAUAGCAACAAACUAAACGAUCAUCGUGCUAAGCUAACGGGUGGGUCAAGUCAAUCACAUCAGUCUCUAAUGAUGUGAUCCUAUUAAUCAAAUGACAAAUCAUGUCUAUGGUUAGGAAACAUAACCAUCAUUGAUUCAACGAGCUAGUCAAGUAGAGGCAAACUAGUGACACUCUGUUUGUCUAUGUAUUCACACAUGUACUAAGUUUCCGAUUAAUACAAUUCUAGCAUGAAUAAUAAACAUUUAUCAUGAUAUAAGGAAAUAUAAAUAACAACUUUAUUAUUGCCUCUAGGGCAUAUUUCCUUCAAAUUGAUCAUGGAGGGCUUAUAAAUCAUCCUUGCUGCCUUCCGAUGAUGCAUGAGUAGUUUACCGCAGACCGACGGGUCCAUAGCUAGUAGCUAAUUGGCUUCGUCUCUCUCUUCGAUCUUCAAUACAAUGUUCUCCUCGAUGUUCUUGGAGUUCUAUUCGAUGUAAUCUUGUUUUGCGGUGUGUUUGUUGGGAUCCGAUGAAUUGUGGGUUUAUGAUAUGAAUAUUUAUGAGAAGUAAUGGAGUCUUUUCUAAACUUUACUAUGCAUGAUUGUUAUAACUUUGUAUUUCUCUCUGAUCUAUCCGUUUGGUUUGGCCAAUUAAAUUAAUUUAUCUUCAGUGGGAGAGGUGCUUUGUAAUGGGUCCAAUCUUGCGGUGCUCCAUCCCAGUGACAAAGUAGGGGACAAGACACGUAUUUGUAUUGUUGCCAUUAAGGGUAAAACGACGGAGUUUAUUCAUACUACUUGGAUUUACUUUGUCUACAUCAUGUCAUCUUGCUUAAGGUGUUAUACUAUUUUUAUUAACUUAAUACCAUAGAUGCAUGCUGGAUAAGGUCGAUGGGUGGAGUAGUAGUAGAUGCAUGCAAGAGUCAGUCUACUUGUCUCAGACAUGAUGCCUAUAUACAUGAUCAUUGCCUUGAAUAUCGUCAUAACUAUGUGCUUUUUUAUCAAUUGCCCAACAAUAAUUUGUUCACCCACGUAUGCUAUGUGUUCGAGAGAGAAACCUCUAGUGAAGACUAUGGCCCCCAGAUCUACCUUUAUCAUACUCCCUCCGUCUAGAAAUACAUGUCGGAGAAAUGAAUAAAAAUGGAUAUAUCUAGAACUAAAAUACGUCUAGAUACAUCCAUUUCUUCGACAAGUAUUUUCAGACAGAGGGAGUAUAUAAAAACACAAAAAUACUUUACUACAAUUUUAUUUCUUUUAUUUUAUUUUGAAAUUUGUACCGCUACAAGAUUUGAUCCUUGCAAAUAGACGCCAAAGGGAUUGACAACCAUCUUGGUCACGUUGGGUGCAAGUAUUUUUUUUGUGUGUGCAGGUGUUGUUCAUGAGGUUUUGUGUGAUUCUCCUACUGGAUUGAUAACCUUGGUUUCAACUGAGGGAAAUACUUAUCUCUACUGUACUACAUCUCCUCUCCUCUUCGAGGAAAUCCCAACGCAGCUCACAAGUAGCAGUGAUUCAAUCACAUUAGUGAAUACCAGACUGUGGGUUGAAACAUGAGUGUUAUGUUGAGAAACAUGGAAUGUGGGGUAAAGCGGGCUUGUAGCUGGUUAGUCGAUAAGGAGUUAUACCAAUUCUUUCCACGAUGGUCAAUGGUCUAAAGAACUUCCUGGGGAGAUUUGGAAAAACGUUUGUUGACCACAUAAGUCUCAGCAUGGGGUUGAAGUUUCAGAUAUAGAGAUUCUCCCACAACAAACUCUCUGAAUGUUCUAGUCUUAUCAACAUCAUAUUUCAACAAACUCUUUUGCAGCCAAUUAUCCAACUCAACAUGUGCAUCAUGGAGGGGUUGUGGCAGUUGCCCCAAAAUGGGCUCAUGCCCAUAGAUGGUCUUCAAAGGAGUACACCCCAGUGAAGAAUCUCUACUCCUAAUGGACGACUUGCUUGAAUAGUCCCCCCCAUUUUUAACCGGUUUUUUUUCAACCGGUUUUUUUUCGACCGGUUUUUCUUCGUCCCACCUCCCACCACCCCCCUCCCACCGGUUUUUCUCUUUUUCGUCUGGCCGACAAUACCCAACGUAUUUAUGGUAAUCAAUCACAAUUAAUCCACGUAUGGUAAGGCUAUAAACUUAGAAAUCUCAAAUAUGAUAAUUAUAGUAAUAAAUCAAUCCAUGUAUGGUAAGGCUAUAACUAAGAAAAUUUCGAAUAUGGUAAUUAUCACCAGAAUCAAAGCUUUCCAAAAAAGUUCUUCUUGCCAUACCCUAAUCGUGACCUCCUCAUCCUGAGGCAUUAUUUCCAUCUAUUUCUCAGCUGAAUCAGAACUUUCCAAAACUUUGUCUGACUAAAUCACAAUUUUCCUUCCUUCCCUAUCAUCUCAAUCGAAUCAUGAGCUAUAGGUAAGUCAUUUCGUUCUCCACCUCGCACGGGUUGUACUGAUUUUUAUCAUGGUUUGGCCCCCUGCCGUACAAGCCGCUCGAUUCCUCCUCCCUCGCUCAAUUCCUCCACCCUAUCUUCUUCUUCAUGGUGAGCGACCCAGGCAGCGAUGCAUGCCCGUUAUGCAUCAGCGAGGAGGACCAGGAAACGUUGAUUGCCAGCCCCGCACUCGUCAAGUGAACCCGUUCACCGUCAGGUCAUGCUGGUGUGUUACGGGUGUAGGUGCACCUUACCUUAGCCAUGGAGGUUUGCCGGUGGACAACGGAGGCCUCGCCAUGGACACCAGUAUCCCUCUCCUCUUCCUGCGCCCUACCUCUCCUUCCUCAGUCUCUACCUCUCUCUCUCUUUUUCUCUGUUCUGGGAGAUCUGCAGCCGACACCGCAGGCCCUGCCCGUUCGCUGCCGGUCACCUCGCCUCGUUGUUCGAUCUCACCGCUGGAUAUGCACAACUCCGCCGCCCUGUGCCGUCCUCGUCGGGCACCAUCAUGGCGGCACGAACACUGUAUGCAGUGGCUACAAUUGGCGGUGGAUUCAACAGCGCGGUGGGCACUAGCGAGUAGCGACCCAGCGGGCAGCGGCUGUGCUGGCCGCUGUCUGCCGCCAAGGUGUAACGGCUCGGGCCCAGACUCCGAGUUCGUCAUGGCGCUCCGCGCGACUUCCCUUGCGCCGGCUGACUCAUGCAUGCAUCUACAAUCUAACUAGCUAAUUCCUCCCUUUGACUGCUAUUUUCUCUGGUUGUACUGUUCCACAACUUAGGGAUCAUCUACACAAUCCAUCGUCUCAUGCAUUCACAAUCUAAUUAAUUUGUCUACUGACUGCAGUUUAUGAAUUGCUCCACAGAUCAUUUAUAGAGAUGAUUUCAGACUUAGAAGUGUUGAGGUCAUGAUGCUCUAAAUAGUUUUGAAGUUGUAUUCACGACAUCAUGAUGCUCUAAAUGAAAUGAAAAUUUGAUGGAUUCAAGAAGAAAAAGGUCAGGUAUGUUUAGUAUGCACUACAGUAGAAAUUUCACUUGUGGUCAUCUUGGGAUACUUGUACAUGCUUGGUGUUACAAUAAUUCUACUAAUUAAUUCCAUGAAAGUGCUGAAAUUUGCUCAGUGAACAAGAAACCCACUGGGUAACAUAUUUGGACGCCAUACAAGUGGAUCUGCAUUUUUUCAUUAAGGUGUUGUCUCAUCUUUUAAUUUGCAUCGUCGCUCUUGAAUAAUUAGUUUUCAUAGAGAUUUAUCUUUGAUCUGAACAUUUUGAACUUUCUUUUUGCAUAACCUUGAUAAAAGGAUUGACAACAAAUAAUCAGAGAAGACUAGCCAACUAGAUGAGGAGAGGAAAGAAGUGAAAAGAGACAAAAUACAGUAUGAUAUAUCAAUUUAGAAGUCGUAGCAAUGCACAUCUUUCUAAAUAUAUAUCUUUAUGUGAUUGGUCACAAGUUGUAGUUGGUAGUGGUAGUAGUAUAUAUUCACUAUAAUUGUUUGUACGAAAUCACAUUAAAAAAAUCACACAUAAAUCACAACAAUUGCGUGCAAAAACACAUAAUCUUACCAUAUUUCAUAGGGUGCUAUCAUUUUUCAUGUUUGUAGUUGUAUGAGAAUAUUAAAUGUAUUAUUAACAUGAUUAUUAAAUGUAUGAGAAUAUUAACAUGAUUAAUAUUGAAAUCUUAAAGUUAACAUGAUUAAUAUUGAACUCUUACCAUAUUUUCAUAUGUCACUUGAUAUGUAUGAGAAUAUUAAAUAUAUUAUUAACAUGAUUAAUAUUGAAUUCUUAAAGUUAAUGUGGCCCCGUUGCAACGCACGGGCGUUCUUCUAGUAAAAGGUAAUGCUCAUGUUUUGGUUGUUGAAAAAUCUAACACCGUUGAACAAAGUUAUCAAAAAAUUAAUUACAGUUUUAAUCCCUACCCACUGAAAUAGUUUAUGAAUUCUUCCGUAAGUUGCUUGGCUUCCAUAAAAUGCCCCCCUCCCCCACUUGAGAUGAAUGUAAUGCUUCAAUUGUUUUUGUCUGAAGGCCGGGAUUUACAUCCACCAAAAUCCUACUUAGAUUUUUCAGAAAGCCACUUUCCAAAGAAUAUUCAGACUCUUCAUCACGGUUCAUUGCAAGUUUAUGAAGCUACUGACGAGAAUGAAUGUCAAUCUCAUAAGAGUUCAUAAUUUCUUCUAUCCAAACUGGUUGAGUUGAAGAAGCUGUUGGUAAAGCAAACACAUGUCUCACUCUAGAAAGUGCAUAUGUUGCCUUAAUUUUAGAAUCUUUUUUAUACUGAAAAGUGAACUAGAAGCCCACUAAUUUUCGCAUGGCCUUUCUUUUUAAAUUAGUAAUUAAUUCUUGGUUGCCCAGCUAACAAAGGAUUUUGUGACAUGUUUUUAUAACAAAAGGACCUCUAAUGCAUAUCCACUACCAUAAUAAUGGCCAUAUACUCCUUUUCAUAAAUGCUCACUUUUUGAUUAGAUGGAUGACCUUCUUGGAUGAGCACUGCCCCAACGCCAGUAUCACAGGCAUUUGUUUCAAUACAAUUUUUUGCUAAAGUCGGAGAGGACCAUUACUAGAGUUGUUUCAAUGGCUUGUUUCAAUUGCUCGAAAGCUAUUUGAGCUAUAGGAUACCAGAUAAAGGCUUUCUUCUUCAAAAGUUGUGUCGGUGGUUUAGCAAUAAUUCCAUAGAUUUGCACAAGUUUCCUAUAAUAUCUCGCCAGACCCGAAAAUGCCCUGAGCUCGGUAACUGGAGUUGGAACCGACCAUUUGAGCAUGAAAUCGGUUUUUGUAGGAUUAGUAGCAACUCACUUAUAUGACAUGAUAUGACCCAAAUAUUCCAAUUGCUGAUGAGCAAAAGAGCAUUUGUGAGCUUAGCAGAUUCUUUCUAAAAAUAGCAAACACAUACUAUAGAUGUUGCUGGUGGGCCUGAAGAACCUUGUUAUAAAUAGGCCCGUCGACGAGGCAGGCCAAAGUGACCAAUCGCACAGGGCCCCCAAAUCACUGGAUACUGUGUAGGCUUUAUCAGAAAACAAAAAACCAGCAGCGAAACAGCCAUCCUGCACGUAUGGAUCGCUGCCAGCCUGUAGCCUACUCACUUCGCCCGUUCGCCGUUUCGCUGCUCCUCGAUCGCGUGCCCGCCUUGCCCUACUGCGUCGCUGCCUAAUGAGCGAUUGAUCAACUGAUAAUUAAUCAACUGUAGCACUCUUCGUUAUACUUUAGAUAGAUUAAUAAUUAAUAAAUGACUUUAUGCUCCCAAGGUUCGUACUUCCCAUGAAUUGGUAGAACAGUUUUAUGAAGAUAGGUGUGCAUACAUCAUUUUUUUUUAGCACAUGAGUCUAGUUUAUUAAUUUGGCGCUACCUUUCCUCUUUUCAAACUCAUGUUUGAUCUAUUUCUAAAUAUUGUAUGAAGUAACCCAUAUUUGUAUGAAAUUAACACAUAUUGGAAGUUAUACAAUAAAAUGGAUGCAAGAUUUGAUUAUAUUAGUUCUUUACUUAUAGGAUUUUUUUGAAAAAAAUCAAGAGUCCCAUUUAACAUUUCGCACCGGGCCCCGAAAUCCUGGAGGUGGCCCUGGUUAUAAACCAAUAUAUCAUCCACAAAAAUCAAUAUAGAUUCUUUUUAUUUUCCCUACAAAUACUGCAUUCAUCAGGCACUGAAAUAUUGCAGGUGCAUUGGUAAGUCCAAAAGGCAUGACCCUGAGUUGAUAUUGCCCUGAUGUGUUUUGAAAGCAGUUUUGUUUUCAUCCGUUUCCACCAUCCUUAUCUGAUGAUAACCUGCUCUAAGAUCCAACUUCGAGAACCACUUUGUACCAACUAGUUCAUCCAAAAGUUCAUCAACUACCGGCAUAGGAAAUUUGCUUUUCAUAGUCACUGCAAUAAGCCUUUUGUAAUCUACACAAAUCAUCCAUGUCCCAUGCUUCUUUUUAACCAACACAACAGGUAAUGCAUAAGGAGACAUGCUAGGUUUGACAAUGCAUGCUGCAAUCAUUUCAGCUACUUGUCUCUCAAUCUCAUCAUUCUAAAGAGGUGAGUACCUAUAAAGUUUGGAACUAACUGGUGGGAAGUAACGAUAUAGCAUGGUAAAACUCUCUAUGAGGUGCCAGUCAUUUUGGUUCUUGGAAUAUAUGCUGAAAUUGCUUAAGAGUUUUCUGAAUACAUUCCGGUACUGAAGAAUUUUCAGUUUCAGAACUAGGAGACAGAACAGUUUUAGCGCAAAUGACAUUCCCUUUAUGGAAUUUAGCAACUUGCUUUGAAGUUAACUCUUGUAAUUUAGUAGCUGAGGUUUCCUGCAAACCUUGCAGAAUGACAAUUUCUCCUUGCAUCCAACCUGAAUCCAUUUUCCUCCCGGUGAAAAACCAUGGGACCCCAUUGAGAAAGCCAGUCCAUCCGGCCCCAGUAUAGCAUCAUAACCUCCUAAGCUGAGAAUGUUCAUGUCAGUAGCAAAAGUAUGCCCCUGAAAUCCACCACUCUAAUGCAUAAAUUGUUGUUUACACUAAAGAAAAUCCCCAUUGGCAACUUACACUGACAUGGGCCUUAGUAACUGUCCGGUGGUGCAUUGCAACUUAUCCGCAAGCUGCUGAUGAAGGAAUGUAUGAGAACUCCCUGCGUCCACCAACAGUAACAUCUCAUGGUUUCCCAGCAGAGCCCUCAACCCGGUGGUUUUGGUGUUGGUAGUUCCUGACGGAGCAUUGACACAUAAAUAUGAUGCAACUUGUUCUGCCAACUCAAUUGCUUUAGCCUGAACAUUUUGCUUGGCCACAGGAACACGGCGAGGAGUGAACUUGUCACCAUAGCUAUAACAGAGCCCAAUUUGUGUUAUGUAGCCUCCCAGAUGCCUUGCUUUCCAUAAAUCUCCAGCAGAUAACUGAUGUUUAUUCUAGGGUUCUUCUCUUGGUACAGUGCCCUUGGCAGAUCCUGGCCUCCUUGCCUUGGUAGACUGAGAUUUCACUCUGUCCAACAUAACUUCCCGCACAAGAGCAUUUCCCACUCCAUCUCGUCUAGAUCCAACAUAACUUCACUACUGUUUGCUGUGUUCCUUGUCUGAACAUGUUAGGUCCCUUGGUUUGGAUCCAUUCAUUCCUUGUCGCCGUGUCAGGUCGACAUCCACAGGCCCCAUGCAUCUCAUUCUCACUCACCUUAUUAAUCAACACCAACUGCUUCUUCAGUUCGUCUCCCCAGUCUGAAUCCCUCCGUGUGGACUGGACCCAUGCAUGCACAUUUCUUCAGCCCAAAGCUUGCAUCGGGACCAGAUCGAGACCCAUCGGUGGACCGCCGAUGCACGCAGCAGCAUUAAGUCGCACAGCAUGCAGUUUUGAUGCUGAAAACCACAAGGGGUUUAUUUCAUCUCUUCCUUCAUCCCAAGAGAGCAGCAAGGACCAUUCCGUACCAACCGUCCUCCCCCUUCUCCUCCGGGUUCAUUCAUUCCGCCGGUUCCGACCCGGCUUGUGCACGGGUCUGUUGGAGCGCCAUCGUUAUUGACGAACAGCAAUGCCAGCGCGAUGAAUGUUCAGGGAAUUCGGGUGUGCUGAAAACCAAGUGAGAAUUGGAGGUGCAAGGUGCAAGCACAAGCACAUACGACAGACGGAAACACAACAGCAGAGGUGACGGUGCCGUUCAACACAUUUGUUUCUCGCCAACUCGACAAGUUUGCUAGAUAGGGCAGCAUCAUGAUCCAUGCACAACAAUGGAUGUUCAGAACAAGAACAGCAAGAACAAGAACAACAAUAGGGUACCAUUACCAACCCUCCUCCCUCAGUUUGCUAUGAAGAGCAGCAUUCACAAUUCAGGAAGAGCAAAUGUCACAAUACAUGUUCAGCAAGAGCAAUGUCACAAUUCAGUGUGCCGAAAAAACGGAUGUGAAGUAGCAGUACAACACACAAACAUAUACUCUAACAGACCACACAUCGCCAACUCGAUGACAAGUUUGUUAGACAGAGCAGCAUCAUGAUUCAUCAAGAACAAGAGAUGUUCAGGUCAUUUGAACACGCUAAAAAAAUGCAGCUACGUAAAAAAUAGCAGAGGUAAACCAAAAUAGAUGCUCAACAGAUUAAUUAAUCCUUGUUUCAAUUUGCACCGGACAAGUCAGAUAAAAGCCAUCCAGAUCCAGGAGCACUAGUAGUAUCUUACAGCGGUAGUAGCAGUACCAUUUUAACCAGCCAGCCCAUCUUCCAGGCAUACACACACACACACACACACACACACACACACACACACUUGUUGCGGUAAUCAUCCUAGCGGUUUUUCAGUUGACAACAACAACAAAACAGCCAGCAUCAUUCUCAUCAUCUGGCACAAAAGCACAACACACACAGACACACUCAGGGGACUAUAGGACGCCGAGCGACCAACGAAUCAAUCAGCAACGCUUCUCGCCUGCUGCUCCGGGGGCGUUUCUUGACAGCGGCCGAGAGGCAUGCAGGGGGAGGUUGACAGCGGAAUGGCGAACUUUUCAACAUAUAUGUAGGCAGCCGUCGUCAAAAAAGAAGGGCAAAGGGAAAAGAAAAACUGUAACCGUGAUCCAUGUUCCGGCAGGUAGCUUCUUUUUUAGCUUCUAGUAAGUAUAUCUUGGGGGUGGUGUUCUCUUUUCUGUUGUUGUCGUCCUUGUCGAGGCGCUGUGCUGUGCUAGCAGGAAGAGCCCUUGUGGCACGACAGGGCGCCCGCCCCAGAGGUGAUGGUGGCGACCAUGGAUGAGGACUUGGCACCGAGGCUGGAAGCGCGCGAGUAGCUGGCUGAGGCGCCUGCCCCCGAUGGGGUGAAGAAGGCGCCGUUCAGCAGCAUAUCACCCUCUGAUCUCCAGUUCCAGGCCUUCCAGGUGGUCUGAGCGGUCUCGACUCUCUUUGUC